rnacentral:rRNA from 2 species
GACCUCGCGAGAGCAAGCGGACCUCAUAAAGUAUGUCGUAGUCCGGAUUGGAGUCUGCAACUCGACUCCAUGAAGUCGGAAUCGCUAGUAAUCGUAGAUCAGAAUGCUACGGUGAAUACGUUCCCGGGCCUUGUACACACCGCCCGUCACACCAUGGGAGUGGGUUGCAAAAGAAGUAGGUAGCUUAACCUUCGGGAGGGCGCUUACCACUUUGUGAUUCAUGACUGGGGUGAAGUCGUAACAAGGUAACCGUAGGGGAACCUGCGGUUGGAUCACCUCCUUACCUUAAAGAA